rnacentral:lncRNA from 1 species
CUUCACUUGGCUCUCAUUCUUCUCCUUCCUGUCACCAUGUGAAAGAUAUGCUUGUUUCCUCUUCUGCCGUGAUUGUAAGUUUCCUGAGACCUCUCAAGCCAUGCUGAACUGCUUAUAAACAGAAGGGACUUGCCUUGUCUCAGAUGAGACUUUGGACUUAGACUUUUGGGUAAUGCUGCAAUGAGCUAAGACCUGCGCUGAUGGAAAGAUGCAGAUAAGAAACGUGGGAAGCCACAAGAAAGCCAAGUAGCCUGGGAAAAAGUGGUCAUUGAGCCAUGAGAAAAAAUUAACAUUUGAUCCUGUUGGUGCCACCUGAAGGCAGAGAUGGCUGAGGACCCCCGAGUAAUGUAUGAAUGAAAGACUUAAGAAUACAUCUGACCCAGGCAGCCUGGGUUCAACUCUCCAUGUGAGAAUACCAAGCUUGGCUGGGCACAGUGCCUCACAUCUGUAAUCCCAACACUUUGAGAGGCUGCGGCAGGAAGAUUACUUGAAGCCAAGAGCUGGCGAACAACCUGGGCAACAAAGUGAGACUUCAUCUCUACAAUUUUUUUUUUAAUUAGCCGGAUGCAGUGGUGCACACCUGUAGUCUCAGCUUCUCAGGAGGCUGAAGUAGGAUUGCUUGAGCCUGUGAGCCCAGAAGUUUGAGACGGCAGUGAGUUACGAUCACACCACUGCAUUAGAGCCUGAAUGGCAGAGUGAGAGCCUAUCUCUAAACUAAGUAAACAAAUACAGACAUACAUACAUAAAGUAAGAAUUAUUAUAAUAACAAGAAUACAAGCAGUCUGCAAUUUGUGUUUAUGGUGCUAACUGCAACUCAUGUAUGUGGUACCCUCAUUUUUCACAAUAUCAUGGUAACUAAAUAACUGUGCAAAUUAAGAGUACAGUUCUUAUGUGUAUGUUUUAUAGUUAAUACAUACUGUUCAAAAAAAGAACUACCUGUACUAAAUAAGAAUAAUAUAGGUGGACUUGUCUACUGCCUAAUAAAACACAUGAUAAAGCACUACAAAUGAAAGACAAUAGUUCUUACAAGCAAAUAGGGAAUGCAGAGGAAAAAUAAUAGAGGGGCAUCUCAGUCAAGAUUCAAAUUUAGUUUAUAAUAAAUACAAAACUUUUCUCUCAAUUUCUGGAUCUGGAUUAUAU